CCUUUAACCCAACCCGAAGCCAACCAACCCAACCCGUAUACAAAAGUUAAUUUUAAAAAUGUGUAGAAAUUAUAAAACGAGUAUAAGGUCCCUCCCUUUUCCCUGACCCUUCCCAUUUCCGUUUUCCAUUUCCCCCUCAGAGAAAACCUAGUCUCCUCCAAUCCAUCACGAAGCCGGUAGUCGCCCUUUAUAUUGUUGAUUCUAACCCUGAGUAUUUAUCACUCUUUC
rnacentral:lncRNA from 1 species